AGUUAAUUAGCUUAAGAAAAGCAAAAGUUUUGAAAACAUAAGAAAAGAAGUUCAAUUUUUUUAUUAACUU
rnacentral:tRNA from 1 species